AGAGACUGAAAAUAAGAAAGGGGUGAGGCCUAAGGGACAAUCAGGAUGUUUUUCAGAGAGAAGUGUGGAUGCUGGACAGGAAGAACCACAGAUACCAGAUACGGAGAGUCAAGGGAUUGGAUUGUGGAUUGCAUUGGUGGUUUUCCUCAGUUUCCUCAUCUUCUCCACAAGUUUCUACAUAUCGAAUGCAGAGCAGCCCUUCUUCAAAGGACCUCCUACGGAAGCUGCUAAGGAACUCAGUCUGUAGCUCUGCGUGGAGCCAUGUGUAAACACUGAACUGAGACCUGCCACCUCCUACUACCUAAGGGCCCAUUUUCAUCUGAUAUCAUCCCCCAGAAACAAACUCAUGAUGACUUCCAUGUUUUUUUUAGAUUAGAUACAUGGAGAAUUUUCCUUUCCCUUAGAAUUAAAAUCCUGCAUUCUAAUUUUCAGGUAAAACUUUUUCGUCUCUACAGAACUCUCUCCAAGUGCACACCCAUAGAUUGGUUUGCUUGUGGAAUCCUAGCAUAUCAGAAAUGAAGGAAUCUCAGAAAUUGUUUUCAUCAAACACCUCAUAUGCAGAAGGCAAAAUGAAGGUUCAGAGCAGAAAUGAUUUGUCCAAGGAUGCAACACUCAUCUGCAGCAGAGGGAAGCUGAGCUCUGCAGACCCACCUAGCACUGCAGAGGCAGCCCUCUAGGACAAGGCUUCAUAAAAAAGUGACUUUAUGAGUUGGCUCCAUAAAAAAGAUACAGAUUAAGAAAUUGUUUAAACAGUGAUCUCUAUAUAAUUACUCUUUUAUUUAAAAGUAUGGGCUGGGAGCGGUGGCUGACGCCUGUAAUCCCAGCACUUUGGGAGGCCGAUGUGAGCAGAUAACCUGAGGUCGGGAGUUAGAGACCAGCCUGACCAACAUGGAGAAACUCCGUCUCUACUAAAAAUACAAAAUUAGCAGGGUGUGGUGGUGCAUGCCUGUAAUCCCAGCUACUCGGGAGGCUGAGGCAGGAGAACUGCUUGAACCCAGGAGGCAGAGGUUGUGGUGAGCCGAGAUCGCGCCAUUGCACUCCAGCCUGGGCAACAAGAGCGAAACUCUGUCUCAAAAUAAAUAAAUAAAUAAGUAUUCCUUUCC
rnacentral:lncRNA from 1 species